rnacentral:rRNA from 1 species
UACAGAGGGUGCGAGCGUUAAUCGGAAUUACUGGACGUAAAGCGCACGUAGGUGGCUUUGCAAGUCGAUUGUGAAAUCCCCGGGCUUAACCUGGGAACUGCAGUCGAGACUGCUCUGCUUGAGUAUGGGAGAGGGAGGUGGAAUUUCCGGUGUAGCGGUGAAAUGCUUAGAUAUGACAUAGAACACCAAUUGCGAAGGCAGCUUACUACACGAAAAUUGACACUGAGGCACGAAAGCGUGGGGAUCAAACAGG